AAUGUCUCUAUCUUCCAUGGGUAAAUAUUUUUUUCAGCAAUUUUUCAUACAAACUGAAUUGGUAGGUAGAGAUGAAACUAGAGAAGAAAUACUAUUUAAAGUAAGCAUGCUUUUAAGGACUUGAAGAAAUUCAGAAUUGUGUUCUAGACUUCAUAUAUAUUUGCAACACUAAUGACUAGUUUUUUGUUGGUUUGAAGUUGUAUAUUUACGUUUAUUCUACCAAAUUAACUGCUGCUCUAGGGUU
rnacentral:misc_RNA from 1 species